rnacentral:tRNA from 1 species
GGAUGUGGCUCAAGUGGUAGAGCGCUCGCCUGGCAUGCGUGAGUCACUGGGUUCGAUCCUCAGCACCA